UCCUUUAGUCAGCGGAUGACUAAAACUUUUCCUUUCCCUAAGUAUGCCAGUUUCUUUGUUACUCUUAUUUCUUUGGAGACAACCCUUCACUUUCCCUUGGAGGUUUAAUAGAAACCCAGUUGAUCUGCUUGAGAAGUCUGCUGUCCUAACACCUGACAACAUAAAUGCACAGUCACCAGGCUACUUAAGAAGGGCGCCAUCAAUUAGCCUCGGAACAUUGGUCGCUAAGGGGAGGGCUUGAACUUGUUUGCCAUUGAUCUCUGCAUUUUAAAUAAGAAUUUCCAAAACAGAAUUCCGUGGUUAUAUAACCAGUCCUUGAAACAAGUUUUACUACAUUUUGUUCAAACGUCAAGCUGAGUAAUCCAGUCAGAAACACGGGAUCCCGAGUCUUGCCAUCGAUACUCUGAAAGUGAGAUUUAUUGAGACUUCUUUCAUUGCCUCGGCUUCAUUACUUUUGAAAAUAUGCGAUGGUAUUACGCUUAGAUUUCCUGGGGUUCUUAAGGUCUUGUCAAAAACGAAACAAGCCCUUUCUGUGGUCUGAGUCUCCUGUUAGCACUGUGAAGAGGGGUGGCUUCGCCUUUGGAAUCUCUCUCAUUACUGAAAACAAAAUAUGCUCAACCCUUCCUUUCUCCAGCAGUCAUUUGUUCUUCCCGAUUCCGAGCCAGUAGUCAGUUUCACAUAUUUCAACUAAUGGCGUGAGUUGGUUGUCACUUAAACACGGGUUGCAUCCCUUUGCCCCCACCCCAUUUAGAAAUGUGAUGCCGUGUCUCUGCAGACCCAGUGCCGGCUCUGUCGGUCGCUGUGUGCCGGCGAGAGGGACGCUCAGCUCCUCUGCUAUGCUUUGUGGUUCUGGUCCAGACUUGAAGUAGGCUCGAUGUCAACCCGAAUGCACCUUGAGAGGCAUGAGCUGAGGCUCUCGUUUCCUGCCUGCCUGUGCCCCUCCAGAUGGAAUGCUGCUCUUCUGCCAAUGGAAAGUGGAGCCUGCUGUCCUGUUCCCCCAGAUUAAGGCUGCAGUUGGGCUGCUUCAUACCCAGAAGUGGCUCAAAAGAAAGACAGAAAGAAAAGAAAAUGUCAAAACCAACCCUAACCACAGUCGACAGUCUCAUGCUCCUCCUCCCAUCGAAGCCUUCUGAGAAGCAGGAUUACAGGUGUGCACCGCCUGUAAUUUCAAGUCUUCUGUGAAAUUUCUUUCCUGGAGAAUACGAAGAAGACUGCAACGAUUCUUAUAAAACAUCCCCACUCCAGAGUAUUGUAUCAUUUCUCCCACAAAUGCAUUUCAAAGCCUCAUGCCAUCCCGAGCUCAUCCUCUCUGCUUCCUGAAUGUGGUUAAGGAUGAACGGAUGAGCUCAGCUCACAGCUUCCAGCUCUGGCCACUGUGUUUGCUUGCUGCCACCCUUCCCGCUGAGAUGGCGAUGGACUCUUGUUCCUCAGGAACCAUAAGCCAAAAUUAAAACCUCCCUUCCGUAA